GCCUUUUGAGAAACCGACGCAAGCCAGUUGCCAGUGACAAGACGCUGACUUGAGACACGCACGUCGCACGCUGCUCAAAAAACAAAAUCAAAUUUUCUUGGCCGUGCGAUCUCGGCAAAAUUGAAACCAGAUAGCAUUGGGGACUCUCUCUCUCUCUCUCUCUCUCUCUGUCUCUGAACUCAGGAGUUUCACCGGAAAAUGGCGUUCUUGCUUAACAAAACUGGCGUCGUUACUCAUUUCCGAUCUCAUAUUUCCCAGAAGACGGAGGAUGCGCUCUCUCUCACGUGCUUAGCGUGCCACAUUGAACCCGGGCCUCGCUAGAAAGCGAUUGCAGAAAGUGAGGAUGAGAGAGUAGUUAGGGAGUUUGCAGUAUUGCUGGAUGCUUGUGAAGCAUCUCGACAAGAGCGGCAAUACAGCUUGGGAUGUAGAUGAACACCGUCGGGGUGAAAAUGAACCAGUCAACUUAAUUGAAGAUCAAAAGAAUGUCUACAUUUGCUCAUGAUGAAGAUGAACAAAAACUUAAUCGAAGAUCAAGGCAACGUUGCAAUAUAUUUUGUCUUCUGUAAUGUUUUACCUCCUUGCGAAGGCAGCAUUGAGUCCAAAAUUAUCUAAGUCUGGUUUUAGAACCACAAGUAGACAGAUGUGAAUAUGUUCAAGAUGAAAUCACGUUUACUUUGUUAUUGUUAAUUUAUUUCUCUUUGUAGUGGAUUUUACUUUGAACCUCAAACUCCAUUUUUCGUGGAAGACUGUAUGGACCACCCCAGGAUAUAGACAUAUUUUAGGCUGUAUUGACUUGAUUACCUGAGAUUGGAUAUGCAAGAAUUAGGUGCUUUGUAAA